AGUCUGAUGAAACUGUAACGGCGUGAGGCUGCCGCUGCUGGCCGUUACGCGGUAUCCAAAACAAAAAGUAGAAAAAGAGGAGGCUAGGGUUUUUAAGACUCGCUUGGUUCUCGGAAACUAGAAAUUUAUGUGCGCCGAUAUUCCUCUUCGCCCUCUUCUUCACCUCAACCUCGCAAAACAACUCCCGGGCAUCGCCUCGUCUCUCACUUUCCCUCUUCCAAACCAAUGAAAUUUUCCAGCCACCGACAGAUCCGCCGCCGUCCGACACCAUGCCGUGCAGGUUCGCCCACCACGGCAGAAACUUCGAAGUAGCUCCUGCUUGAUUUGGCUUGGGAGGUAUUGGAAAAAAAAAGGCAUCUUUUGUGCGAACGUGGCUAAACGACUAUGUCGGAUACCGUAUCCCUGAAUUAGCAUAUCGUGAAAUUCGACAAUGUGCACAACAAAAGGCUGAUAGUGUCGACUGCGGGGCAUACAUGCUUAUAUUUGCAGAGACACUUAUACGAGGUAGCUCGAGACCAUUGCAGAAAGAAUUCAAAGAUAUUUCUUUAUACAAGAGCUGGGUUGCAGGGAGUAUUCUAUUAAAUUCGGGCUGCAUUGCGUUUGAUAGAUUUUGGUCAAUGUACGGACUGAAGUCAGGUAGAAAGAGAGCUUAGACUAUGUGUUGUAAAAGAUGAUUGUUAAUGUGUUGUAAAAGAUGAUUGUAAAUAUGUUGUAAAAGAUUAUUGUAAAUGUGUUAUAAAAGAUAAUUGUCCAAGGGCAUUUUCAUCUUCUAUGUAAUGUAACAUUCUAAUAGAUAAUAUUAUUA